GAUGAACGCUGGCGGCGUGCCUAAUACAUGCAAGUCGAGCGAAUGGAUUAAGAGCUUGCUCUUAUGAAGUUAGCGGCGGACGGGUGAGUAACACGUGAGUAACCCGCCCAUAAGACUGGGAUAACUCCGGGAAACCGGGGCUAAUACCGGAUAACAUUUUGAACCGCAUGGUUCGAAAUUGAAAGGCGGCUUCGGCUGUCACUUAUGGAUGGACCCGCGUCGCAUUAGCUAGUUGGUGAGGUAACGGCUCACCAAGGCAACGAUGCGUAGCCGACCUGGGAGGGUGAUCGGCCACACUGGGACUGAGACACGGCCCAGACUCCUACGGGAGGCAGCAGUAGGGAAUCUUCCGCAAUGGACGAAAGUCUGACGGAGCAACGCCGCGUGAGUGAUGAAGGCUUUCGGGUCGUAAAACUCUGUUGUUAGGGAAGAACAAGUGCUAGUUGAAUAAGCUGGCACCUUGACGGUACCUAACCAGAAAGCCACGGCUAACUACGUGCCAGCCGCCGCUGUAA
rnacentral:rRNA from 1 species